GCCUUCAUGGUGUAGUGGUCAGCACACUCGGCGCGUAUUCCAGAGGUCUGUGGUUCAAGUCUCGGCGAGGGCA
rnacentral:tRNA from 1 species